AUUGAACGCUGGCGGCAGGCUUAACACAUGCAAGUCGAGCGGCAGCGCGGACUUCGGCCUUGCAUCGAGUGGCGGACGGGUGAGUAAUACAUAGGAACGUGCCCGGUAGUGGGGGAUAGCGCGGCGAAACCGGGACUAAUACCGCAUACGACCUGAGGGUGAAAGCGGGGGAUCUUCGGACCUCGCGCUAUUAGAUCAGCCUAGGUCGGAUUAGCUAGUUGGUGGGGUAAAGGCCUACCAAGGCGACGAUCUGUAGCUGGUCUGAGAGGACGACCAGCCACACUGGGACUGAGACACGGUCCAGACUCCUACGGGAGGCAGCAGUGGGGAAUUUUGGACAAUGGGCGAAAGCCUGAUCCAGCCAUGCCGCGUGUGUGAAGAAGGUCUUCGGAUUGUAAAGCACUUUUGGUGGGAAGGAAGAGCAGUGAGUUAAUACCAUGCUGUGUUGACGUUACCAGCAGAAUAAGCACCGGCUAACUACGUG
rnacentral:rRNA from 1 species